rnacentral:rRNA from 1 species
AACGAACGCUGGCGGCAUGCCUAACACAUGCAAGUCGAACGAGACCUUCGGGUCUAGUGGCGCACGGGUGCGUAACGCGUGGGAAUCUGCCCUUGGGUUCGGAAUAACAGUUGGAAACGACUGCUAAUACCGGAUGAUGACGUAAGUCCAAAGAUUUAUCGCCCAGGGAUGAGCCCGCGUAGGAUUAGCUAGUUGGUGGGGUAAAGGCCUACCAAGGCGACGAUCCUUAGCUGGUCUGAGAGGAUGAUCAGCCACACUGGAACUGAGACACGGCCCAGACGCGGAGGGGAGGCAGCAGUGGGGAGUAUUGCACAAUGGGCGAAAGCGGGAUGCAGCCAUGCCGCGUGUAUGAUGAAGGCCUUCGGGUGGUAAAGUACAUGCAGCGGGGAGGAAGGGAGGAACGGUAAUACCUUUGCUAAUCGACGGUACCCGAAGAAGAAGCACCGGCUAACUCCGUG